UUUUUGUUUUUUGUUUUUUUUUUUUGCUGUGAAUAGACUCCAUGACCAAGGUAAGUCUUACAAGGAGAACAUUUAACUGGGGCUGGCUUGCAGGUUCAGAGGUUCAGUUCAUUAUCAUCAAGGUGGGAGCACGGCAGUGUUCAGGCAGGCAUGGUGCAGGAGGAGCUGAGAGUUCUACAUCUUCAUCUCAAGGAAGAUAGUAGAAUAUUGAUUUCCAGGCAGCUAGGAUGAGGGUCUUAAAGCCCACACCCACAGUGACACACCUACUCCAACAAGGCCAUACUUUCUAAUAGUGGCACUCCCUGGGACCAGAAUAUAAAAACCAUCCCAGGCACCAUGUCAAGAGUUAUUUGGUGCUGGGAUCAAAUGAAAAAUUUUGUGCAGAAAGAUAAGAGCUCUUUCACCUGAACUGUAUCUCACCACUAUUGAUAGUUGGCUACGAAGUGUCUAUCUGAGUUUAAGCUACUUGUAGUUACCUGACCUGUUUUGAUGUACAGAUGAGUGCUUUUCAUAAAACAAUGGGAUAUUUCUGUCAUUUCACUCUACCUUUCACUCUCUCCCUUUUGUUCUGGUUCCCGCUGUGUGUACAUUGUUAUUACUAAUGGUGCCCUGCACAGUUUUGACUCCAUUCAUUUAUCUUUCACUUUGUCUUCUCAUCCUCCAAGUGGAUACUCUCAAUUGAUACAUAUUCAAAACGUCUGAGUCUGUAUUCUGUCAGCACAAAUCUAAUGUUGAACUUCAGAAGUAAAAAUUUCACUCUAGUUGUUGUAGUUUUCAACUCCUAAAUAUCAGAUUCUUCAAAACUAACUCAUGUAUGAUGCUCUCUCUUUGGUGAGACCCUGUUUCCAUCCAUUUUGUCCUUACAAUGGUUGAACACCUUUAUAGUAGUAAGGGCUUUUUCUAGCAAGUCUAAUGUGGAUGUUUUCUCCCAGACAAUCCGUUGACUGCUUUUACACAGGUAUGAGUCACACUUUCCUGCUUUAUGUUCUGCAUGCCUAACGAUUUCUAUUGACAAUUAGACAUAAAGUGGUGACUCUGGAAAUCAGACUCCAUACAACUCUACCUCCUGAAUCCACUUAUCUUGCUAUCUGCUGUUGUAUUAGUGACUUUAUUAAAAUAAUUCUAAAGGCCAUCUCCAUUUUGUGUGGUCAAUAAAACCUUUGCUUGGUUACGUUAGUGGUCUAUAAAUAGACACGAUUUUCUUUUCUUAAAUGUAUUGAGUCUGUACUUAGUCCUUGCCAGGGUUCUGUGGGUGUUAGGAUGCACUGUGACUAUCCCAGCAGGCAGUUUAUAACUGCUGUAGCCAUCAUUCUUGAUCAUGCAGAGGCUCAAGUUCAUGCAGCGUCGAGAGACCAUGCAUGUCUUGAGCCUUUCCUGGAUAAAAACACAAUGCUGCUCACACCUGUGGCCUUCCAGAAUAUGUUGGAACUUUUGAGAGCCCCUUCUUGACAACUUAUUCAUAAAUUUAAGUCAUUUUUGGAUUUUGACCUCUGACCUUCUUAGUCUCUCAGCCAGCGUCUACUUGUUUCUAACUGGUACUGUAGCUGGGCAGUUGUAGUGUUUAUGGAUUUCAAGCAACUGUUUCCCCAGGUACCUUAUGAUAUGGUCUCCCAUAAAGCACCUGGUCACAUGGAGAUAAGCCUUUUGGAAGACUUGUUGACUGAUUAAACAGUGAUAAUUCACUUGUGGGACCAUGAUUUUUAGGAUCCUCCACAUCCACUCUGUUCUUGUAAAGGCUUUGAGGGUGCUGGUUUAUAGAGGUGGGUGGAAUGUUACAAGUUACACAGCUACAAAGAUCUCUGUUAGGAGAGUCAGCCUUUUUCCUUGAAUAAAGGCUUUUCUGAUUGUUAUAAACCUUUUCUUAAAUUGCAGGGAUCUGGAAAAGUUGAUUUUGAUUUUUGGGGCUGCAUUUACAGAGAAAUUCUUUCAGAAGUCUUAGUGUCCCAAAAGCUGUGGCUUGCUUCUGGGCUUGUCUUGAAAGUCUGCCUAUCUUGCAUAUAAAGCCCACCUUACAAACUAGAAGAAAGAGUUUGAGGUGGCAAUGACAAGAUACUUUUUAUUCUUCUAGUUAUUGCACAUGGCUUCCUGCAGUUCUUUGAAGACAUUUAUACAGUAAAGUCUGCUGGGGAAGCUCUUUCAGAGACAGUCUUUCGACUGUUUUAACUACAUUUGAGUAUAGCUUAUUCUCUUCUAAUCCUUUAUAAAGAUAACAGUACACAUUCAUCUAACAUAAACCAACAAUUUGAAAGAGAUACACUUUUUAUGAGAAAAGUGCACUGACAUAUUUACAUUUUGUGUUAACUAUAAUUAAACCCAAUUUUAACAGUAAAUUUCUUAAAAUUGAACCUUAAGAUGAUUAAGGGUUCCUUUUUUUUGAGGGUGGGGGCUGAGACAGGGUUUCUCUGUGUAUCCUUGGCUGUCCUGGAACUUACUUUGUAGACUAGGCUGGCCUCGAACUCAGAAACCCACCUACCUCUGCCUCCCGAGUGCUGGAAGGGUUCAUUUUUAAAUGUCCUACAUACAGGGAAACCUGUUAUAAAGAUUUUAAAUGGCAACUAUCUGCUUCUUAAGGGGCAGUAUGCUGGGGAAAAGGUUUGUGUAUUUGUUUGUUUGUUUUUUGUGUUUGUUGUUAUUGUUUUAAACUGUAAAUAUCUAUUCAUAAAGACUAUUUUGUAUCAAAGAAAAUAUAGAUAAUAGUAACCAGCAUUUUAGAAAGUUGCUAUUUCACACAAACUGACUGACUGACUGACGAACAAACUGGAAAAGCCUGGUGAUGAUGGCACAUGUCCUUAAUCCCAGCACUUGGAGGCAGAUGCCGGAGGACCUCUGUCAUUUCAAGGCCAGCCUGCCUUCAAAGUGAGUCCCAGAACAGCCAGGGCUGCUACACAGAGAAACCUUGUUUCCAAAAGACUACACAGACAUGCAGACACACACACACAGACACACGCGAACACACACACACACACACACACACACACAGAGCCAAAGGAGCCAUUUCUAUAAAGUAGAUUUAUAUGAAUGCAACACCUAACUCUGUAUGUGCAUUUUAUUUUAGACCAGACAUGCAGACACACACAGACACACGCGCGUGCGCGCGCACACACACACACACACACACACACACACACAGAGCCAAAGGAGCCAUUUAAAGUAGAUUUAUAUGAAUGCAACACCUAACUCUGUAUGUGCAUUUUAUUUUAUUUACAAUUUGUUUGGUUUUAUUCACUUGUGACAAUGCCUGGCUCCGAGCCAGUGCUUGCUCUGUAGCUCUGGGCAGUCUGGCGCUUACUACAUAGCUCACUCUGGCCUCACACUUGUGGCAGUGCUCCUGCCUCAGCUUCCUAAGUGCUGAAAUUAUAGCACAUGCUACCGUGUUCUACCAUAAGCACAUUUUAAAUGUAGAUAAGCGAUUCCCAAUUGUCUUCUUUUAGACUUUUAACAGUUUAAAAGCCACUGAGAGUUUUUAAUGCCUAUCAUUUUUGCAGAGAUUGGACAUAUUCUGCACACAUGUUAGACUGUGUAUCAUCACAUAGAGCUAUAUACAUUUACCUAUUCUAUCUAUUUAUCUGCUUAACAGCAUGAUCGGUAGACUUCACUGUCCUUUUUGCAGUCUCUUGGUAACUAGUAAGGCUGAGUAUAUUUUAAGGUGUUUUUAAUGGUAUAUGAAGUUUUUACGUGAAUUAUUUCUAUUUAUUUUGCCUUGUAAAGCUGAUUAAAAAUGUUCUCCUAAAAUUCUGGAAAUUGGAGAGGAGAGAGAGAGAGAGAGAGAGAGAGAGAGAGAGAGAGAGAGAGAGAGAGGCAGGCACAUAGACGAGUGUGUGUGUUAUGUGUGUGUUUUCUUUGUACAGUUCCCAUCCUCAUGUCCUCCUUAGGAAGAUGUUUCCUAACUGUAGAUGACUAUGGGACAUAGUUUAUGCAUUUACUAUGAAGGCUCGGUUUUCCUUUUUCCUUUAUGACUUGCUUAUUGCUCUUCUGCUACUUAAGCAGCUUUUAUGGCUUUGGAAAGGCUGGGAGAUAAAGCGCAAACAUUCGGGAUGCUUGAUCAACUCUGACUGAAUAUACUUUUAAAAGCCCAUCAAACAGAAGAUAAAUUUACGAGCUCAAAGCAUUUUAUUCAGAGCCUAUCACAAAAUAAAAUAAAAUAAAAUAAAAUAAAGGAUCUACCUUUGUUAAAUUUCUCUAAUAGAAUUUAUGUGUACCAUCAAAGUUUGGAUCACCUACCUCUUGAGACCUUUGAGGGGUACCUUUUUUUCUUUUAUUAUUGUUGUUGCUUUUUCCAGACAGGGAAACAGCCCUGGCUGUUUUAGAACUCACCAUGCAGUCCAGGCUGGCUGCCUGUUUCUGACUCCCGAGUGCUCGGAUCAAAGGCAAGCACAGCUGGGGGAGGGGCUUUUUACAGGCACCAUGGCAAUGACUCUGAUUUUUCUGUUUGUUCCUCUAUUAAGACUCUGUCUUUCUGCCUGAGGGCUACAUCCUUCCUUAAACAGGAAAGCACACCAUUCUUAUGGCGCUCACAAUGAUGUCCACUUCCUUGACUCCCAGGACCCAUGACUGUGCAACCAAUAUGGCAGGAGAUGCUGCAGGUCUGAGUAAGGUAGGAUUUCGUGGAUAGGGUAUUUUGGACUGUCACUUCUGGGCCGUCUAACCAUGAGUCCUAAAAAUAAAUGAGGAAGGGAGAGAAGCAACUCAGAGACUUCACAGUUUCUCGGCUGUAUCUGAAGAAAAUGAGAAGCAGGAGCUUAAGUGGGCCUUGACCUGGUGCUUCGUAUACUGAAAAAACUAGAGUAGGAUCUAGAGAUAAGACAUCUUUCAGAAGCCGGCAACGGUCACUGGUUGACAGCAGGCAAGAGAAUGGGCCUCCAUUUUCUCGUAGUUACAGGAGUUGAAUUCACCACUAUUGCAGAUGCAUAAGGAGACAGACUCCUCUGGAGCUCCUGACCCCAGGGAGUUCUCCCACUGAGACCUGUGCCAGACUCUGACCUAUACAAUCACCAGACAGUACAGAGGGAUUCUAAAAUCACUAGAUCUGUUAAUUCUUUGUCACCUGAAGAAAACUUUGUCCAAAGUUCCAACUUAUAAAGUUACCUGUUAUAACUAAACAAACAAUCCAACUCACCUUCUGUAUCUUUUCUUUUCUUUUCUUUCUUUUUUUCUUUUUUUUUUUUUUUUUUGAGAUAGGAUUUCUCUGUGUAGCCCUGGCUGUCCUGGAACUCACUCUGUAGACUAAGCUGGCCUCGAACUCAGAAAUCCGCCUGCCUCUGCCUCCCAAGUGCUGGGAUUAAAGGUGUGCGAUACCACCGCCCAGCUACCUUCUGUACCUUUAGUUCUACAAUUGUUAUUUUGUAUAUUCUAGGAUUUUCUUUUACUCAUACAUGAUCAGAUUUAUUGAAGAUAGAAUUACAUCACUGUUUUAAAAGAUUUAUUUUUAAUGUGUGUGUGUUUCCACGCGUGCACGUGUGCCUGUCUUGGUAGUGCACAUGAAUAAAGGUGCCCCAAGAAGACAGAGACAUUGGAUCCCCUGGUGCUAGAGUUAUAGGUGGUUGUGACCUGCCUUACGUGUGUGCUGGGAGUCAAACCAGGGUCCCCUGCAAGAGCAGUCCAUCCUCUUAGCCACAGAGCCAUCUCUCCAGCCUGUUUCAGUACUUUGACCAGAACUGUGUUUUGCUUUCACUGGAACAAUCUGGUCUCUGUAUGGUUACACUCACCCUGUACUUUUCUUACUCCUUUUGAUGAUCUUUCCUACCUUUUGAACUGUGCAGAUAAUUUAUUUUACUGUCUUACUUGUUAAUAAUUACAUUUCUUCUAAGUAUUUUAUCUUUUAGGUUGGUAUUUGGCAUUUUCUGAAGAAGGCAUUAUCACUCCUCGUUUCCUUACCAAUUCAUCUAGAAGUAUAAUCCUACUUCUCUAAGUGGUGAAGUAUGUAUGUUUAAGAGGUACUCGAGAAUGGAGAGAGGGAACAAGACUGGAAAGGAACUAUGUCUACAAAUGUGGAUUGACUGAUUAGAACUUCAUGAUGUGGAGAGGUGGUUAUGUUGCAGGACCAGAUGUGGGGAGGCUGGAAUGUUGCAAGUGCAGAGCUUAGUUAUAAUUUAUCUUGGGUGUCCUUUGCUUCAUAAACAGCCAUUCUCUAUGUCAGACUUAACAUCCUUGGACUAACAGAUAAAAGCCUCUUAGAAUGUAUUAACUUAAAACCCAAUUUCUACUAAACAAAACUUAAGGUCAGACAGCACCCGAGGCUGACAGUUGAGAUUUCUCCACUUUGCCAUAACCACCUACUUACUGUUUCCACCAAUGUAUUUGAAAAGCACUUUGAUUUAUGGUUUUCUUUGUUCUCUUUCUAUGAAAACUCCAGGAAACUGGAUGUAUCCAGGGAUGCACUGGAACAUGGAAUUUGAGAUCUCAAAUGUGUGAGAGGAGCACUGUGCAUCUUUCUCCUACCUUUCCUGUACCCACACUGCCUAGGGUUGCCUACCUGAGUAAUAA